rnacentral:rRNA from 1 species
UGGCGUAAACAGAGGGAAGCGAACCCGCAGGGGGAGCGAAUCCCAAAAAUAAACGUCCCAGUUCGGAUUGUAGUCUGCAACCCGACUACAUGAAGCUGGAAUCGCUAGUAAUCGCGAAUCAGAAUGUCGCGGUGAAUACGUUCCCGGGUCUUGUACACACCGCCCGUCACACCAUGGGAGUCGGAUAUGCCCGAAGCCGGUGACCUAACCGCAAGGAAGGAGCCGUCGAAGGUGGAGCCGAUGACUGGGGUGAAGUCGUAACAAGGUAAC